rnacentral:rRNA from 1 species
ACGGAAGGCAGCAGUGGGGAAUAUUGGACAAUGGGGGCAACCCUGAUCCAGCGACGCCGCGUGAGUGAAGAAGUAUUUCGGUAUGUAAAGCUCUAUCAGCAGGGACGAUAAUGACGGUACCUGACUAAGAAGCUCCGGCUAAAUACGUGCCAGCAGCCGCGGUAAUACGUAUGGAGCAAGCGUUAUCCGGAUUUACUGGGUGUAAAGGGAGCGUAGGUGGUUUUGUAAGUCAGAAGUGAAAUGCCGGGGCUCAACCCCGGAGCUGCUUUUGAAACUGCAGAACUAGAGUGCAGGAGAGGUAAGUGGAAUUCCUAGUGUAGCGGUGAAAUGCGUAGAUAUUAGGAGGAACACCAGUGGCGAAGGCGGCUUACUGGACUGUAACUGACGUUGAGGCUCGAAAGCGUGGGGAGCAAACAGGAUUAGAUACCCUGGUA